ACAGUAUAGAAAUAACUGGUAAAAUAGACUUUCAGAAUAAAACAUUACAAUAACUCAAAAAAGACGCACUAAAAAUGCUGUGUUGUUUCUGUAAACACAUCGUUGGGUGGUUUAUGCUGGGUCAAAAUUCUGGGUUAUUUCGGGUACUUUAAACACAUUGUUGUGUUGCUCAUGUUGGGUCAUAUGAGAUGUAGUGAGUCAUUUACAAAUGAACACCUGGUUGGGUUAUUUUGACCCAACCACUGGUUUAUUCUUUAUUUUCUGGUUUCUCCAAACGUCAGCCUGCAAAAUAAUCGAAAUAUUACUGUUAUUGUGUCACAGGUGUAGUUUUCGGAAAUUUGAGCUUCAGUAUGCUACAUUCCCCGGCGCUCUGCGCAUAACACCAGUCCAACGCAGCCUUGUAAAGAAUUUCUAAACGUGGGCUAUUGUUGUUUACUUACAAUAUUUGUUAAUUUAAUUUGGUGGCAGUGGGCAGAGUGGCAGAACGGAGCACGCGGAGGCAGCCCGCCUGCACGGAGUGAAGGCGCCGCGAGAGUGCGAGGAUCAAAGGGCUGAAUUUCAGUGUCCUGUUUGAAGUCCCUGGACCGCGUCACAUUGCCCCGCUCGCAUGCCACUCUGUCCUGCUCCACCGCCAUUGGAUAAAUGGGCGGAGCACUGUCCCACUUUGAGCUAGUGGUCACUUAGACCAACAAGCUGAGGUUAGCCAUUACUAUGAAGUUUAAAAGCAAACAUGAACUCUUUAUUCACUUUUGUGUUUAAAGUUCUGUUAGCUUUUCUGAAAGGGCAUUAUUUUACCCAUACUGCAGACAUUGAUAAGUCCCAGAAUCCACAAAUAAAAACCCUAUGUGGAUUAAUUUUGAAAUGGAAAUGAUACAAUAGAAUUGCCGUGAAUUUAUUAAAUGUCAGUGUAAUCUAAAUAUCCUAAAAUAAACUCUCUCGAAAUGACAGCACUAAAAAUUAGUAGUUGAAUUAUCUGAUAAUAUCAGAGAAUAAUUUUAGUUAUCCUGCAAAACUGAAUUAUGUUUAUUGGUUUAUUGUAUUAUCAGUAGUGAGCACUUACAAAGCAACAGAAUGCAGUUAUUUUAAAGGUGUGUGUGGGGUGGUGAUUCUUUCUAUACAUACUGUAAUUAAGAUUUGCUAAGAACUUGAGCCAGUCCAAUUUUUGUUUUUACUUUUUUUUUUUUUAAGAUCAAUUAUGAGUUUCUGAGAAUUACAACUGCUCCACUUCAAGCAAGAUUGCUGGUUUCCUUGGACAAGCAACACUACAAACUCAUUGAGAGAAGACCAGAGAUAUAAUCUUCAUCUUCAAGUUCUUGAUCUGAGCCUGGAGGUGAAUGUAUGAAGAGAGUAUCUCCUGAAAUGUCUUAUGGUGUAUUUAGUGGAAGAUGUGGACCAACUGUUUAAACACUGGUUGUUCAGAAAGGUGAAGCUCAGGCUGAACUUGAGAGGUGCACGAUGGCCCUGUUUGCCCUCAGGGAGGAAGAGGACUGUCUUCAGCCACCACAGGAAAUCAGGAUUGUGACUUAUUGAGUUUCCAUCAGUCGCACAUGAAUGUUCCAUGUUUGGCCUUAUCUAUGCGUUAAACUUGAGCUAUCCUGGUGAGCUCAAACACACAUUUGUGGCCCGGCAGAAAAUAUUUAGGGAACGUAUUCUAUAUUGACAUUAAAAUAUUAAAUUUUGGUCACACUAUUUGUCAAACAAUUGUCAGAUUUUCACAUGGUUAGC